UUAUGCUAAAUGGGGUUUUGUGAAGAUAACCUUUCCUUGAACCAAAUUACUGGAUUUAAGUUUGUCCUGAGAAUUUAUGUAAGGAGAGAUAACGGGAGAGACUCCGGAUUCCACAGGUAUCUGUGAAAUCUUAUCUCAUGUUUCACU